rnacentral:misc_RNA from 1 species
UCCGAGUUGACCCCGGCAGUCUCCUAUGAGUCCCCGCCAUAACGCGCUGGCAACAUAGAACGAGGGUUGCGCUCGUUGCGGGACUUAACCCAACACCUCACGGCACGAGCUGACGACAGCCAUGCAGCACCUGUGAUCGUUCCCGACUUUACGGGUCGUCCCCCUUUCGGGUUCCUACUACGACCAUGUCAAGCCUAGGUGAGGUUCUUCGCGUUGCAUCGAAUUAAACCACAUCAUCCACCGCUUGUGCGGGCCCCCGUCAAUUCCUUUGAGUUUCAGCCUUGCGGCCGUACUCCCCAGGCGGGGCACUUAAUGCGUUAGCGACGGCACCCAGGGGGUCGCUCCCCCAGGCACCUAGUGCCCAUCGUUUACGGCGUGGACUAC